rnacentral:misc_RNA from 1 species
GAUAAAAUUAAAUAAUUAAUUUAAUUAAAGAAGUAAGAAUAAUUUUUAAGGCAUUAUCGAAAUUUCAGUACAUUAUUCCCUAUAACUAGACUUAACCUCCCUACAAGAAACGUAAUACAGUAACACACAGUGCCUCAAGUCCACAACAACAAUAAUAAUGCCUAUCCAGGGCUUACAAGAAAAUCUAAUCUAAAUCCAAUCAUCCAAACUCCAGCUAAGGUCCCU